AGUGAACGCUGGCGGUAGGCCUAACACAUGCCAGUCGAACGGCAGCACAGUAAGAGCUUGCUCUUACGGGUGGCGAGUGGCGGACGGGUGAGGAAUACAUCGGAAUCUACUUUUUCGUGGGGGAUAACGUAGGGAAACGUACGCUAAUACCGCAUACGACCUACGGGUGAAAGCAGGGGAUCUUCGGACCUUGCGCGAUUGAAUAAGCCGAUGUCGGAUUAGCUAGUUGGCGGGGUAAAGGCCCACCAAGGCGACGAUCCGUAGCUGGUCUGAGAGGAUGAUCAGCCACACUGGAACUGAGACACGGUCCAGACUCCUACGGGAGGCAGCAGUGGGGAAUAUUGGACAAUGGGCGCAAGCCUGAUCCAGCCAUACCGCGUGGGUGAAGAAGGCCUUCUGGUUGUAAAGCCCUUUUGUUGGGAAAGAAAAGCAGCAGGUUAAUACCCCGCUGUUCUGACGGUACCCAAAGAAUAAGCACCGGCUAACUUCGUG
rnacentral:rRNA from 1 species